CCUACGGGAGGCUGCAGUGAGGAAUAUUGGUCAAUGGCCGCCGGGCUGAACCAGCCAAGUCGCGUGAGGGAUGACGGUCCUAUGGAUUGUAAACCUCUUUUGUCAGGGAGCAAAGGGCGCCACGUGUGGCGCUUUGCGAGUACCUGAAGAAAAAGCAUCGGCUAACUCCGUGCCAGCAGCCGCGGUAAUACGGAGGAUGCGAGCGUUAUCCGGAUUUAUUGGGUUUAAAGGGUGCGCAGGCGGAAUGUCAAGUCAGCGGUAAAAUUUCGGGGCUCAACCCCGUCGUGCCGUUGAAACUGGCGUUCUUGAGUGAGUGAGAAGUAUGCGGAAUGCGUGGUGUAGCGGUGAAAUGCAUAGAUAUCACGCAGAACUCCGAUUGCGAAGGCAGCAUACCGGCGCUCAACUGACGCUCAUGCACGAAAGCGUGGGUAUCGAACAGGAUUAGAUACCCCAGUAGUC
rnacentral:rRNA from 1 species